UAAGACACGCCUACCCACUCUUUUGCGCCCCCUCUCUCUCCAGCGCACACGCACACACACACACACACACACACACACACAAGAUAAGUUAUCUACUACCAGCACACAUGCUUUUGCGACAGAAAGGAGGCUGAGGCAGCUCUGUCUGAGGACGUGGAGGGGCAGGAGGGUUCUCUUGUGGUCACUGCACUGAAGCUACACCAGUGCUAAGCCUAUUAACCACACAGAAACUCUUUGCACUAAAAUGUUAAGAUUUGGACCUGAAUCAAUCAGCAGGUGAGGCUGGGAAACGUCACAUCCAGCACCUGGACAAUCAGCACUGGCGCCCCCCAGGGGUGUGUGCAGCCCCCCCCCCCCCCCCUGUAUGAAAGUAAAUAUGUUGCAAAAUGCAAGCGCUUGUAGACUGGAUUUGUGAGCCUGUAGAAAACAAUGUGAGAACUUGUAGAAUAAAUUUGAACCUGUAUGUCGAAAUUUUCACUCAGAAAAAAUUAAUUAAUUAAUAAUUAUUAAUGUUAAUAAUCUAACAUUCUAUUUUUUAACAGCCACAACUCACUCAUUACAACCACUCGAAUCUGCCACUGCAGAGACUUUCAGUUAUAGGACUUCUGCUAUGGGGAGAUAGGGGUCCAGCUUCAUGCGAUCUUACAAGUGGCUGUGAAUGAGUGCUUACUUUUAAAACCAUAUUCGCCGCGGUAGAUAUGAUACCCCCCACCCACCCCCCUGCUCUCUGACAUCUCAGCUACAAGUGCAGAUCAGUUUUGCAACACGCUGACUGCAAGAAAUGUUGCAAAAGUCAAGGCGCAGAUUCAAGGGGUUGUAAUCAGUGAGUUGUGGCUGUUAAAAAAUAAUAAUGGGUUAAUGUUAGAUUACAAGUUUGCAGCUGCCAUUGUAUUAAUGUAAAUAUCAAUCUACACAUUUGUGAAUAUUUUUUUUGUGACUUCAAAUUCAGAACACAGAUGUGAAUUUUUUCUGUGACUGAAAAUUUCAACAUACAGGUUCACAAAUCCAGUCUACAAGCGCUUGCAUUUUGCAACAUAUUUACCUUCAUACCCCCUGCUCUUCUCCCUCUACACCAACAACUGCACCUCAGGAGACCUGUCUGUCAAACUCCUGAAGUGCGCAGACGACACACCGGUCACCGGCCUCAUCCUGGACGGUGACGAGUCUGCGUACAGACGGGAGGUUGAACAGCUGGUCAGAACAACCUGGAGCUGAACCCGCUCAAAACUGUGGAGAAGACAGUGGACUUCAGGAGAAGACCCCCAACACUGCCCCCCCUCACCAAACUCAACAGCCCUGUGUACGCUGUGUAAACCUACAGGUUUCUGGGAACCACAAUCUCCCAGGACCUGAAGUGGACAUCCAACACAGACACCAUCGUCAAAAAGGCCCAGCAGAGGACGUACUUCCUUCAACCUGCUGAUCCAGUUCUACUCUGCAGUCAUCCAGUCUGUUCUGUUCAUCUGCUCAUCUAUCACUGUCUGGUUUACAUCGGCCACAAAUCAGGACAGGAGGAGACUACAACGGACCGUCAGGACUGCAGAGAGAAUCGUCAGUGCCAACCUGCCCUCCGUGCAGACGCAUCACACCCUGGAUACAACCUGUUGAUGUAUAUACAUAUUCUUUAUAUAAACCUUUUUUUCUAUAUUAUGUUAGAAUAUAAGUGUAUAUAAUAACUAAAUGUUAUCGUCAUGUUCUUGUCCUUGUCUUUUUCUGUGUAAGUAGUCUGAGAGCUCAGGAAACUGGAGUCUAAUUCCUUGUGUGUUUACACAUGCUUGGCCAAUCAAGCUGAUUCUGACCCUGAUCAACAACAUGAAUAAAUACCCAGAUUCAUUGUUUUUGCCAAAGGGAACAAGGUCGACUCUCUAAAAUGCAGCUUCAGAGGGUCAUCAGUUUUCCUCUCCGGAUGUUGAAGACCCCUCCCUCCUCUGGUAGAGGGUUCAUACAAACAGCUCACGACAACUGAACACUGACACUGACUUAUAGUCUGUCUAUGUCACUUCAACAAUCAUGUUUGCAAACACAAACCAUGUAUGUAUAUAUUCAAAUAUAUGUAUAUUUUUAUACUGUCAUCUGCACUCUCUACUCCCACAUGUGCAAUACUCCGAGUGCCAUCAUUUAGCUAAGUCAAUGUCAUUGUAUUAUACUGUCUUUGUCUCAUAGGUCACGUUGCUAUUCUUAUCAACAGUAUAUACUUCCAUUUUAAGUAGUGCAGUUUGUUCUCUUUCAAUUAUUGUCCGUCGUGAGAGUGAACCUGUGAAUUGCUAUUAGUGUCAUGACUCCAUUCUGCUCCCGCCCGCCUACAGGCAGAGACUGAAGCAAGCGGCACCUACUGUGAGCAACCUUCUCCUGCUCGGACCAGUUGGAUGUCGGUUUCCAAGAUUGCAUCGACUGGGAGAUAUUGAGAGGUAGAUGUGAUGUCAUUUAGUACACAGAGGCAGUCACAGGGUUUCUACAAAAAUAUGUAGAAGAUGUUGUUCCAACUGAAACAGUCUGGGUUAAACAACCAGGAAGUGUAAGAGCUGCUCUCACUGCUCGAGAUACAGAGACAAAGAGUUGUGAUCACAGCUGAGUGGAGAUGACACAGGCAGAUAUAUGUAUAUAUCUGCCUGUCGUGGGACUACACACAAACUUGGACUUUGUUAAAGAGACUCAACUGUGCAGAUGAUGACGCUGCCUCCCGCUCAUCCUUCCUGGACGAGAGAACCCCGACCACCACCCACACCUUUAAUGCCAUAAUGAUGCAGAGGCCAACUUGCGCACGUCCUUCAUGUAUGUCACAUUAAUGUUCCAGUGCCAUCCUGAAAUGAAUGACGUCCUAUUGUGCUCACUCUGUGGGCACAUGCUUUGAGAGGCGACUGCACCCUCAACAAUAUGUUUACAGACAAAACAGGUGGACAGAAGAUACCAUGAGCAUAACACCGCCCACAUGAAGAAGUCAUCCCUCCAUCAUCUAGAUCCUGUAAGGGUCAUGGGAGACAACCCCUCAUGACAUAUGGCGAGAGGCGGGGUCACCCUGGACAAGUCAGCCACAGACAGAGACAGUCAACCAUUCACGCUCACUUUCACACCUGUGGUCAAGUUAGUGUCUCCAGGUAACUCAACAUAUGCAUGUGUCUGGACUGUGAGAGGAAACCCACGCAGACACGCGGAGAACACGCAAACUCCACACAGAAAGGCCCUGGUUGCUGUGAUGCGACAGUGCUGACCACCGCACCAUCCCGCAGCCUUAUGAAGAGGUCAGUCAUUCCAUGCUUUGUUUGGGGCAUUUUCAGCCUUAAUCUUUAGGACAGAGACAAACAAUGGGGCGAGAGAGAGUGGGGGGUGGCACGCAGCAAAGAGCCACAGGUUGGAACCAAACCUGCAGUGAGGCAUCAGCUCUACCAGGGGAGAUACCGGCCUCCCAGACAAGAAUCCUUCAACACCAUGGUUCCUUAUUAGUCUUUGUUUCACCGAUAUGAGCUCCCCUUCAGCCAGGACACACGGGCACAACGGACUACACAUUCGCAUUUGACACUAACCAUUAUUAUUCAUUGCAGCAAUGUUGAGGAGCCGGAACCCAGGAAUUUUACCCUUUAACAAGUGUAAUAAGAUACAAUUUUUUUUUUUUUUAAAUUAAAAGACCUGGAUGUAUUUCUUAACUAUUUGAUUCAUUAACAUCAGAUCUGAAUGGUAUCUGUCAGUACAUUACAGGAGCAGACUGAAUGAAACGGACGAUUGAGUCUGAGGCUCACUAAUGUUAGUGAAACACCUCGGAAUUUAGGAAAUGUCAACUUUAGCUCAAACUGUAGCUGCUUUGCUCAAAGCUCACUGUCACAGUGUGUCAUCAAUAUGGACACGUUGAGUGAUACUUUAACAAUAUACAGUUACUGUGCCACUAUGCAUUUCUACUGCAUUUACCAAUGGACAAAUGACGACGUCUGACUUUACACAUCAGUUUGUUCCGGACCCUCCUAAUGAAAGACAAGUGAACAACCACUGAAGCACAAACCUUUGUAGUAGAACAGACUUCUGUCAGCGAGGACGAACCAGCGCUUGUUCCACUGCUUCACUCCACUGCUCGCCUGUCGGGACACACAUCAACAACACACUCUUUAAUCAUCAUCAUCGUCCUGUUUCUAAUCACUGGAAAUGGAGAUGGAUUCUAAGCUGUGAAGUGCUUGUGAUCAGAUCACCAGAGGCCCAGGUUUAUCUGUCCAUGUGCUUUGACUGCUUGUGAACACGAGUAAAGUCCUUCAGAAAUACUGUCAAUUUAUUUAAUUGAUGUGUUAAGUGUUGACUGUAUAGCCACAGCCUGAUACAUGCUUAUUUAAAAAGUAUGAAACAAAAAAUUGUAAUAUGAACAUUUUCCAUUAUUGGUUCUAUUUUUCCACAUUAGCAUUGGCUGUAAGCUCACAAAUCAAAAUUAAAAAAAGUUAAUCAGUAUCUAUUUUAAUCUUUACUAUUUCUCUUUCUUUAAAUUGUAUUUGGUAGAGCAAGACAAAUCAGACAGGACACAUUUACACAUUAGGUGAGAAACAUAUAGGCUGAGCUGCAACGAGCGGCCACACAAACACAAAGAGAAAAAGAUAAAAUAAAUAAAAAUGAAUGGAAUUGCAGCAACGGGAGAGAUGGGAGCGUAGACAGCAACGGGAACGUCGGGAGCGUAGACAGCGACGGGAGAGAUGGGAGCGACAGGAGCGUCGGGAGCGACGUGUGAGCCAUUGGCUAAAGGGGUUUAUUUUGUGUUUUUCUUACUUUUUCUUAUUUUGUAACUAGUCCGUCUUAACAAUUCCAAUCCCAAAUGUCUCUUCCUAUCCCAGGUUGAUGGUUACAUGAACUGUUAUUAAUGCAUCUACCUGUUAUUUGACCAACUCAUUUACUGCCUUCAAAACACUCCUAAUAAAGAUGGCAUUUUUGAUA